rnacentral:tRNA from 2 species
GCCGAUAUAGCUCAGAGGUAGAGCACUUCCAUGGUAAGGAAGGGGUCCUCGGUUCAAAUCCGAGUAUCGGCU